rnacentral:rRNA from 1 species
UACGUAGGAGGCGAGCGUUGUCCGGAAUCAUUGGGCGUAAAGAGCGCGUAGGCGGCCCAGUAAGUCCGCUCUGAAAGUCAGGGGCUCAACCCCUGGAUGCGGGUGGAUACUGCUGGGCUAGAGUCCGGAAGAGGUGAGUGGAAUUCCUGGUGUAGCGGUGAAAUGCGCAGAUAUCAGGAGGAACACCGAUGGCGAAGGCAGCUCACUGGGACGGUGACUGACGCUGAGGCGCGAAAGCGUGGGGAGCAAACAGG